CCUACGGGUGGCAGCAGUGGGGAAUAUUGCACAAUGGGGGAAACCCUGACGCAGCGACGCCGCGUGAGUGAAGAAGGAUUUCGGUAUGUAAAGCUCUAUCAGCAGGGACGAAAAUGACGGUAGCGGAUAAAGAAGCACCGGCUAACUACGUGCCAGCAGCCGCGGUAAUACGUAGGGGGCGAGCGUUGUCCGGAUUUACUGGGCGUAAAGGGAGUGUAGGCGGGAGCGCAAGUCAGAGGUGAAAUGCCGGGGCUUAACCCCGGAACUGCUUUGGAAACUGUGCAGCUAGAGUGAAGGAGAGGUAAGUGGAAUUCCCAGUGUAGCGGUGAAAUGCGUAGAUAUUAGGAGGAACACCAGUGGCGAAGGCGGCUUACUGGACUGUUACUGACGUUGAGGCUCGAAAGCGUGGGGAGCAAACAGGAUUAGAUACCCGAGUAGUC
rnacentral:rRNA from 1 species